UCAUAUGCUUGUCUCAAAGAUUAAGCCAUGCAUGUCUAAGUAUAAGCAAUUAUACCGUGAAACUGCGAAUGGCUCAUUAAAUCAGUUAUCGUUUAUUUGAUAGUACCUUACUACUUGGACAACCGUGGUAAUUCUAGAGCUAAUACAUGCUGAAAACCUCAACUUCGGAAGAGGUGUGUUUAUUAGAUAAAAAACCAACGCCCCUCGGGGCUCCUUGGUGAUUCAUGAUAACUUUACGGAUCGCAUGGCCUUGCGCCGGCGACGGUUCAUUCAAAUUUCUGCCCUAUCAACUUUCGAUGGUAAGGUAUUGGCUUACCAUGGUUUCAACGGGUAACGGGGAAUUAGGGUUCGAUUCCGGAGAGGGAGCCUGAGAAACGGCUACCACAUCCAAGGAAGGCAGCAGGCGCGCAAAUUACCCAAUCCCGACACGGGGAGGUAGUGACAAUAAAUACUGAUACAGGGCUCUUUUGGGUCUUGUAAUUGGAAUGAGUACAAUUUAAACCUCUUAACGAGGAACAAUUGGAGGGCAAGUCUGGUGCCAGCAGCCGCGGUAAUUCCAGCUCCAAUAGCGUAUAUUAAAGUUGUUGCAGUUAAAAAGCUCGUAGUUGAAACUUGGGUCUGGCUGGCAGGUCCGCCUCACCGCGUGUACUUGUCCGGCCGGGCCUUCCUUCUGGAGAACCUCAUGCCCUUUACUGGGCGUGUUGGGGACCAGGACUUUUACUUUGAAAAAAUUAGAGUGUUCAAAGCAGGCCUUUGCUCGAAUACGUUAGCAUGGAAUAAUAGAAUAGGAUGUGUGGUCCUAUUUUGUUGGUUUCUAGGACCGCCGUAAUGAUUAAUAGGGACAGUCGGGGGCAUCAGUAUUCAAUUGUCAGAGGUGAAAUUCUUGGAUUUAUUGAAGACUAACUACUGCGAAAGCAUUUGCCAAGGAUGUUUUCAUUAAUCAGUGAACGAAAGUUAGGGGAUCGAAGACGAUCAGAUACCGUCGUAGUCUUAACCGUAAACUAUGCCGACUAGGGAUCGGGCGAUGUUCUUUUUCUGACUCGCUCGGCACCUUACGAGAAAUCAAAGUUU
rnacentral:rRNA from 1 species